rnacentral:misc_RNA from 1 species
GAAAUGCGAUAAGUAAUGUGAAUUGCAGAAUUCAGUGAAUCAUCGAAUCUUUGAACGCACCUUGCGCUCCUUGGUAUUCCGAGGAGCAUGCCUGUUUGAGUGUCAUGGAAUUCUCAACUCUAUUUGCUUUUGUGAAUAGAUCUUGGAUUUGGAGGUUUAUUGCUGGUACUUGUGAUCGGCUCCUCUUGAAUGCAUUAGCUCGAACCUUUGCGGAUCAGCUAUCGGUGUGAUAAUUGUCUACGCCGUUGCAGUGAAGCAUAUCAAUGGGCUCGGCUUCCAAUCGUCCUUUACUGGACAAUGACUUUGACCUUUGACCUCAAAUCAGGUAGGAUUACCCGCUGACCUUAAGC